rnacentral:rRNA from 1 species
AUACGGAGGGUGCAAGCGUUAUUCGGAAUCACUGGGCGUAAAGGACGCGUAGGCGGGUUGGCAAGUCAGAUGUGAAAUCCUACAGCUUAACUGUAGAACUGCAUUUGAUACUGCUAACCUAGAGUAUGGGAGGGGGAGAUGGAAUUAGUGGUGUAGGGGUAAAAUCCGUAGAUAUCACUAGGAAUACCGAAAGCGAAGGCGAUCUCCUGGAACAUAACUGACGCUAAGGCGUGAAAGCGUGGGGAGCAAACAGGAUUAGAAACCCUAGUAGUCC